AAAGGAGAGGAGGAGAGUGAAAAAAACACACAGGCCACCACAGACAGCUAGGUAUUAUAUAAACACUAAAACACACAGGCCACCACAGACAGCUAGGUAUUAUAUAAACACUAAAACACACAGGCCACCACAGACAGCUAGGUAUUAUAUAAACACUAAAACACACAGGCCACCACAGACAGCUAGGUAUUAUAUAAACACUAAAACACACAGGCCACCACAGACAGCUAGGUAUUAUAUAAACACUAAAACACACAGGCCACCACAGACAGCUAGGUAUUAUAUAAACACUAAAACACACAGGCCACCACAGACAGCUAGGUAUUAUAUAAACACUAAAACACACAGGCCACCACAGACAGCUAGGUAUUAUAUAAACACUAAAACACACAGGCCACCACAGACAGCUAGGUAUUAUAUAAACACUAAAACACACAGGCCACCACAGACAGCUAGGUAUUAUAUAAACACUAAAACACACAGGCCACCACAGACAGCUAGGUAUUAUAUAAACACUAAAACACACAGGCCACCACAGACAGCUAGGUAUUAUAUAAACACUAAAACACACAGGCCACCACAGACAGCUAGGUAUUAUAUAAACACUAAAACACACAGGCCACCACAGACAGCUAGGUAUUAUAUAAACACUAAAACACACUGCAGAAUCUCCCCCCUCCUCCUUCAGUAUCUCUCCAUGAAGCAUCUCCUCCUUAAAUAUC